CAACUAGCAAAGUGAUCCGCGCAAUUGCGCGGGCUAGACCUUAAGUAUUUAUUUAUAUUUAAAAAAAUUAAUAUACCAGAAAAUAAUAGGUUUUGUUGUCAAUCAUUGUAAACUUUGUGACUACUCAAUCUCAAGAUAUUAUUAAUUUUUUUUGAUAUUGAGUGUUUUAUUUUGUUGUUGAAAUAUGGAAAAUCCAUGUAUUUUUUAGUGCAACAUGAUGAUUUAAUAAGUAGCAAUACAAUGCAUUCACUUAUUGAAAGGUGUUCAUUCAGUAUACCGGGUUUGGUUUGAUUUAGUGAGCAUUAAGUGUCCAUAUCAAGCAAUAAUCCACACUAACUCUUUCCUAAUAAAUGGUUCAUCCAUAAGAAACAAGCAAUAAUUCUUUCUUGAUAAAAAAUGUAUCCAUAUCAAUCAAUAAUCAACAAUAAUUCUUUCCAAAAAGAUGCACUUUUUAUUGUCCUUUUUUCAGGUAGUAGUUUAUAGAAGCCACGUAGUUCCAUAUCCUUAGGAUAUUAUAUAUUGUCCCUUUGCUUUGGUUGGAAUGUAUCAUGCAAGAAUGGAUGGAAGGUCUGCCACUGCUUGUUUACUGGUGAUGCUUGUGUUGUUCGGAAGCACUACAUUUGGAGAGAAAUGUGCGGUGGUUCAAUUUCCGCUCGUGAUCUGCAACAAUCUAGCAUGCAAGCAUGAAUGUGAGUUUUGGGGACAGGGCAAGAAGGUUCGCGGAUUCUGGUGCAAUCGGAUGCUCCGUGGCACCUGCAACAGCAAGAUUUGUUGGGAUGAAUAAACUUAAUUGAUACGCUAAGCAUAAUUAAUGUUAUCAAUAAUGAAUUCAUUGUUGGGGAA